rnacentral:rRNA from 1 species
GACGGAGGAGGCAAGCGUUGUCCGGAAUUAUUGGGCGUAAAGAGCGCGUAGGCGGUUUUCCAAGUCAUAUGUGAAAACUUUAGGCUUAACCUAAAGAUUGCAUGUGAAACUGGAUAACUAGAGUACGGCAGAGGAAAGUGGAAUUCCUGGUGUAGCGGUGAAAUGCGCAGAUAUCAGGAAGAACACCAGUGGCGAAGGCGGCUUUCUAGGCCGUUACUGACGCUGAGGCGCGAAAGCUAGGGGAGCGAACAGGAUUAGAUACCCUGGUAGUCCUAGCCGUAAACGAUGGACACUAGGUGUGGGAAGUUAUCGACGCUUUCUGUGCCGAAGCUAACGCAUUAAGUGUCCCGCCUGGGGAGUACGGCCGCAAGGCUAAAACUCAAAGGAAUUGACGGGGGCCCGCACAAGCGGCGGAGCAUGUGGCUUAAUUCGACGCAACGCGAAGAACCUUACCAAGGCUUGACAUCAUACUGACGGUUGUUAGAAAUACAACUUCUCUUCGGAGCAGUAUGACAGGUGGUGCAUGGCU